GCUCCAAUAGCGUAUAUUAAAGUUGUUGCAGUUAAAAAGCUCGUAGUUGGAUUUGUGGCGUACGACGGGCUCCGGGCACUUGUUGUCUGAGUAGCUUGUCGUUGCCAUCCUUGGGUGGAAUCUGUGUGGCAUUAGGUUGUCGUGCAGGGGAUGCCAUCUUUUACUGUGAAAAAUUAGAGUGUUCAAAGCAGGCUUAUGCC
rnacentral:rRNA from 1 species